AGCUCCAAUAGCGUAUAUUAAUGUUGUUGCAGUUAAAAAGCUCGUAGUUGGAUUUCUGCGUGGCGCAACUCGGUCCGCCGCACUGCGGUGCGACUGUGGUUGGAGCCUCGCUUCUUUGUGGGGACUACUUGUGCCAUUAAUUUGGUGUAUUUAGGAACUGCAUCGUUUACUGUGAAAAAAUUAGAGUGUUCAAAGCAGGCUGUCACAGCCCGAAUACAUGAGCAUGGAAUAAUGGAAUAGGACCGCGGUUCUAUUUUGUUGGUUUCUACGACCGCAGUAAUGAUUAAGAGGGACAAUUGGGGGCAUCCGUAUUUCGUUGUCAGAGGUGAAAUUCUUGGAUUUACGAAAGACGAACAACUGCGAAAGCAUUUGCCAAGAGUGUUUUCAUUAAUCAAGAACG
rnacentral:rRNA from 1 species